ACGAGGUCAGCUUUAAUACACGAGCAAGCAAACACUAUACCCAUUACGGACAUUUGUGCGGCUAUGUCCGUAAUGGGCAUAGUGUUUGCUUGCUCGUGUAUUAAAGCUGACCUCG
rnacentral:pre_miRNA from 1 species